GGAAAGUUGUCAUCCUGGAUUUGUCAAGAGGGCUCGAGAAGGAGAGCCAGUUUGCUGCUAUGACUGCCUUCCUUGUCCGGAGGGGACCUUCUCCACUCAGGAAGCUCAAUAAAGAGAACUCUGGGAAGGUCAUUCAGAAGAAUUUCAUGUUCAGGAACAGCCAAUGAACCUGAUGCCUUAUAAAAAUAAUUUGAGCAGGUUUGACAGAGCCGAAAAGUGUUUCUGUGUGAGAGAAAAGCCUGAGGAGGAAGAAUGGCAAGAUGGAAGCUGUGGGAAAGAAGCUCCAGUCAUGUUGUGUGACAAUCUCUGAGAGAAGCCAUGAAAUGAUGUGAAGGUUUCACCUGCUCUCCGCUGGGGAGGCAGAUCUGCGCAACUCUUAAAUGGCUCCUUCUUGAUGUCCUGAUGAGACCUACUCUAGAGAAAGAGUGGAUCACAACAGCCAUCUGGGAUUUCACUGGGGCUCACUUUGUCUGGCUCCCUAUUUUUUCUUUCCUUAUUCAAAAAAUAAAAGAGAAAUAUCUAACAGUG